AACACUUCGUAAAAAACCGUCUGAAGCUGGCAACGAAGGCAAAGCUCCCUUUACAGUUGAGUACAACCAAUUCAUUCUGUAUGAUCGGUUAUUACCAAAAUUACGAAAUUAUGAAAACAUAAGUUCCAUUCGGGUUGAAAUCUACAUUCUCUUGUUGAUGGCUAGAGAGAUAACAUUGAGCACAUGAUCAUGAGACUUUAUCGUUGACGUAGACACUGAACAAACAAUUCUAACAACAACAGAGGAAUGUCUCGGUUUAUGUGGGCCUUCAAGGCAUAUUGUAAAUACUCAUGGCAAAACUGUACAGGGACAGCAAUGUAUUUAUUCACCAAUAAAGGGUCCAUAUGACAGACAACACAUGAUGCAUCAUGGCCCCGCCACAAUGAUCCAAGCAGCUUCACAACAAUCAGGAAUUACACAAGCAUUCAAAGUUUGUUUGCUGUCAAACGCC